rnacentral:ncRNA from 1 species
UCUUAUCGUGAGUGGUGGAGGGACUGGCCCUAUGAAACCCGGCAACCAGCACAUCCUAUUUAAUAUAGGGUGCUAUGGUGCUAAAUCCUGCAGCUAAAAAGCUGAGAGAUAAGA